rnacentral:rRNA from 1 species
GCGAGAAAACUUUGCAAUGUGCGAAAGCACGACAAGGUUAAUCCGAGUGGUUUCUGCUAAAGAAACCUUUUGUCAGUCCUAGAAACACUAACGAAUAAGGGGUGGGCAAGUUCUGGUGUCAGCCGCCGCGGUAAAACCAGCACCUCAAGUGGUCAGGAUGAUUAUUGGGCCUAAAGCAUCCGUAGCUCGUUUUGUAAGUUUUCGGUUAAAUCCAUACGCUUAACGUAUGGGCUGCCGGGAAUACUGCAUAACUAGGAAGUGGGAGAGGUAGACGGUACUCGGUAGGAAGGGGUAAAAUCCUUUGAUCUAUUGAUGACCACCUGUGGCGAAGGCGGUCUACCAGAACACGUUCGACGGUGAUGGAUGAAAGCUGGGGGAGCAAACCGGAUUAGAUACCCCAGUAGUCCCUGAGCGGGCUGGCAAGGCGCAU